CCACGAAACGUACAACGGGCAAUCGAAAAGCGGAUCUACUACGGUUAACAAAACAAACCGAUUCCCACCCCUUUAGAGCGAACGGGGAAUCGAACUCGCGGAAUAACACAAUCGAAAAUCUCGGAAUCGAUUCCCAAGCAGUUGAAAGUGAGAGACGACUUGUGCUUGAGGGAAAUUUGUUCCAUUUUAAGUCGACGUUUAAGACUUUAGCCCUCGCCGAGGGCCGUCCGAUCAAUCGAGGCUCCUAUAACAAAAGACCCGAAGCUAAACAAAUAAAAACAAAUUUAAUUAAAACAAUUUUUUUUUUACCUCAGGGUUGGCUGACCGGUAACCCCCCCCCCCGACCAGGGUCUGCCCUGCCGCCCCACCCUCACCUCAGGCCGGCCUGGCUGGCUAGGCGAGGCCGAGGCUCCGCGGAGACCCCCGUCGGGGCCCUUGUCGCAUUUCGACCUGCAAAAUGAGUCACGGGUUGCCGGGAGGUGCCCAGGGGGGUUGCCCUGGGGCCGAUCGCCCCCUUGACUCCUUCUCGAGGCAGAAGGUGCGUGUCUUCCUUGCUCUGCGCAGGAUGGGAGCCACGUUAAAGGCAGAGGAGGAGGAGUUUCUGCAGAAUCAUGCCCCCCACGAGCUGAGGAAGAUGUCACCAGGCUCUCAGGACCAAGGACCCGAGGAUGACGUCAUGGUGCUGACCCGGCCGGAGACAGAGGAAGAGAAGAAGUGAUUGGUCGACGACGACGGCGGCCGGUGGGGGCUCAGCCAAUCGGAGCGGAGGAUUUCUGGGGGCGAGGUGGGGGAGGGAGGGGGAGAUGGUGUGUGUGUGGGUCCUGGGCCAAUCGGAGCGGAGCGAUUUCCAUGGGGGUGGGCUUGGUUGGGGUGUGGGUCCUGGGCCAAUCGGAGCGGAGCGAUGCUGUGGAAGAGACGAAGUCGAUUGGUCGGCGGCCGGUGGGGGCUCGGCCAAUCGGAGCGGAGGAUUUCCGGGGGCGAGGUGGGGAGGGGCUGGUUGGGGUGGGGGUCCUGGGCCAAUCGGCGCGAGGAGCGAGACUGAGGAAGAGACGAAGUCGAUUGGUCGGCGGCCGGUGGGGGCUCGGCCAAUCGGAGCGGAGGAUUUCCGGGGGCGAGGUGGGGAGGGGCUGGUUGGGGUGGGGGUCCUGGGCCAAUCGGAGCGAGACUGAGGAAGAGACGAAGUUGAUUGGACGGCGGCGGCGGCGACCGGUGUGGCUCGGCCAAUCGGAGCGGAGGAUUUCCGGGUAACGGCGGGGGCGGCGGGGGGGGGGGGGGGAUCCUGGGCCAAUCGGAGCGGAGCGUUACUGAGGAAGAGCAGAAGUUGAUUGGACGAUGGCGGCCGGUGUGGGCUUGGCCAAUCGGAGCGGAGCGUUUCCGGGGGCGGGGAGGUUGGGGAGGGAGUCUGGGCCAAUCGGAUUUGGCGAUACUGAGGGGGGGUGGAGGGGGGGGGGGUGGAGUGGAGGGGCGUGUCCCGUGGUUAAAGUCGACCAAUGGGGAGCGAGCGAUCGUUGCACUGGGAACUCUGGGAGUUUUGGAAGGUGAGGGGGUGGGGGGGGGGUGUUGAAGCUUCAGCCAAUGGGUGAGGGCGGCGUGGGAGGAACCGACCAAUGGGGACGCGGGGAUGCGACGCAGCUUACGUUGGUCGUAAAGACGGUCGUAAGAUUGUGGUGAGAUUGUGGUGAGAUUGUGGUGAGAUUGAGAUUGUGGUGAGAUCGUGGUGAGAUUGUGGUGAGAUUGUGGUGAGAUUGUGGUGAGAUUGAGAUUGUGGUGAGAUCGUGGUGAGAUUGUGGUGAGAUUGAGAUUGUGGUCAGAUCGUGGUGAGAUUGUGGUGAGAUUGAGAUUGUGGUGAGAUCGUGGUGAGAUUGUGGUGAGAUUGAGAUUGUGGUGAGAUCGUGGUGAGAUCAUGGUAAUAUUGUGGUAAGAUGAUGGUGAUAUUGUGGUGAGAUUGUGGUGAGAUUGAGAUUGUGGUGAGAUCGUGGUGAGAUUGUGGUGAGAUUGAGAUUGUGGUGAGAUCGUGGUGAGAUCAUGGUAAUAUUGUGGUAAGAUGAUGGUGAUAUUGUGGUGAGAUUGUGGUGAGAUGGUGGUGAGAUUGAGAUUGUGGUGAGAUCGUGAGAUUGUGUUAAGAUGAUCGUGAGAUUGUGGUGAGAUUGUGGUGAGAAUUUGGUGAGAUUGCGGUAAGAUGAUGGUGAGAUUGUGGUGAGAUUGUGGUGAGAUUGUGGUGAGAUGGUGGUGAGAUUGUGGUGAGAUGGUGGUGAGAUUGUGGUGAGAUUGUGGUGAGAUUGUGGUGAGAUUGUGGUGAUAUUUUGGUGAGGUUGUGAGAUUGUGGUAAGAUGAUGGUGAGAUUGUGGUGAUAUUGUGGUGAGAUUGUGGUGAGAUGAUGGUAAGAUUGUGGUAAGAUGAUGGUGAGAUUGUAGUGAGAUUGUGGUGAGAUUGUGGUGAGAAUUUGGUGAGAUUGCGGUAAGAUGAUGGUGAGAUUGUGGUGAGAUUGUGGUGAGAUUGUGGUGAGAUGGUGGUGAGAUUGUGGUGAGAUGGUGGUGAGAUUGUGGUGAGAUUGUGGUGAGAUUGUGGUGAGAUUGUGGUGAUAUUUUGGUGAGAUUGUGAGAUUGUGGUAAGAUGAUGGUGAGAUUGUGGUGAGAUUGUGGUGAGAUUGUGGUGAGAUGAUGGUAAGAUUGUGGUAAGAUGAUGGUGAGAUUGUAGUGAGAUUGUGGUGAGAUCGUGGUGAGAUUGUGAUAUUUUGGUGAGAUUGUGGUGAGAUGAUGGUAAGAUUGUGGUAAGAUGAUGGUGAGAUUGUGGUUAGAUUGUGGUGAGAUUGUGGUGAGAUUGUGGUGAGAUGAUGGUGAGAUUGUGGUGCUAUUUUGGUGAGAUUGUGGUGAGAUGAUGGUGAUAUGGUGGUGAGAUUGUGGUGAGUUCGUGGUGAGAUCGUGGUAAGAUGAUGGUGAGAUUGUGGUGAGAUUGUGGUAAGAUUGUGGUGAUAUUUUGGUGAGAUUGUGGUGAGAUUGUGGUAAGAUGAUGGUGAGAUUAUGGUGAGAUUGUGGUAAGAUGAUGGUGAGAUUGUGGUGAGAUUGUGGUGAGAUUGUGGUGAGAUGAUGGUGAUAUUGUGGUGAGAUGGUGGUGAGAUGGUGGUGAGAUUGUGGUGAGGUUGUGGUGAGAUAGUGGUGAGAUUGUGGUGAGAUUGUGGUGAUAUUUUGGUGAUAUUUUGGUGAGAUUGUGGUGAUAUUGUGGUGAGAUCGUGGUGAGAUUUUGGUGAGCUCGUGGUGAGAUUUUGGUGAGAUUGUGGUGAUAUUGUCGCGUUUCCCGGUCCUGUAAAAUAUCGUUUAUCGUGGAUGAUCAUCAUUGUCUUCAUCAUCGUCUUCAUCAUCGUCUUCAUCAUCGUCGUCAUCGUCAUUGUCGUCGUCGUCACCAUGGCGACCAGCGUGUUUGUGUUGUGACGUGAGC